CCGUCAAAGGAUCCAACGGAAAGGUAUGUUAAGAUAAGAUUGUGUGUUUGUAUGCCUUUUUGUCCAAGUUUCUUCUAGGUGUCGUCAAAGGAUCCAAAGGAAAGGUAUGUUAAGAUAAGAUUGUGUGUUUGUAUGUAUUUUUGUCCAAAUUUCCUCUAGGUUUCGUCAAAGGAUCCAAGGGAAAGGUAUGUUAAGAUAAGAUUGUGUGUUUGUAUGCCUUUUUGUCCAAGUUUCCUCUAGGUGCCGUCAAAGGAUCAAUGGAAAGG
rnacentral:lncRNA from 1 species